UUGAACGCUGGCGGCAUGCCUUACACAUGCCAGUCGAACGGCAGCACGGACUUCGGUCUGGUGGCGAGUGGCGAACGGGUGAGUAAUGUAUCGGAACGUACCUUUCAGUGGGGGAUAACGUAGCGAAAGUUACGCUAAUACCGCAUAUUCUGUGAGCAGGAAAGCAGGGGAUCGAAAGACCUUGCGCUGAUUGAGCGGCCGAUAUCAGAUUAGCUAGUUGGUGGGGUAAAGGCCUACCAAGGCGACGAUCUGUAGCGGGUCUGAGAGGAUGAUCCGCCACACUGGAACUGAGACACGGUCCAGACUCCUACGGGAGGCAGCAGUGGGGAAUUUUGGACAAUGGGGGCAACCCUGAUCCAGCCAUGCCGCGUGAGUGAAGAAGGCCUUCGGGUUGUAAAGCUCUUUCGGCCGGGAAGAAAUCGCAUAGGCUAAUACCCUGUGUGGAUGACGGUACCGGAAUAAGAAGCACCGGCUAACUACGU
rnacentral:rRNA from 1 species